rnacentral:rRNA from 1 species
AUUGAACGCUGGCGGCGUGCUUUACACAUGCAAGUCGGACGGCAGCAUAACUUUCGGUUGAUGGCGAGUGGCGAACGGGUGAGUAAAACAUCGGAACAUACCAUGAAGUUGGGGAUAACUCAUCGAAAGAUGAGCUAAUACCGAAUAAUCUCUGAGGAGGAAAGCUGGGGACUAGAAAUGGCCUGGCGCUUUUUGAGUGGCCGAUGGUCGAUUAGCUAGNGGUGAGGUAAAGGCUUACCAAGGCGAUGAUCGAUAGCUGUUCUGAGAGGAAGAUCAGCCACACUGGGACUGAGACACGGCCCAGACUCCUACGGGAGCAGCAGUGGGUAAUUUUGGACAAGUGGGGGCAACCCUGAUCCAGCAACGCCGCGUGAAUGAAGAAGGCCGUUUAGGGUUGUUAAAGUUUCUUUUGUUUUGGGAGCAAAUCUUAGAUGUGAAUAGCAUAUGAGGA